rnacentral:rRNA from 1 species
UACGAACUGCGCAAACGUUAUUCGGAAUCACUGGGCUUACAGGGUGCGUAGGCGGCGGGGGAAAGUAGGGUGUGAAAAUCCUUGGCUCAACCAAGGCACUGCGCUCUAAACUCCCCUCGCUCGAGUGAGUCAGGGGGUACGCGGAACUUCCGGUGGAGCGGUGAAAUGUGUUGAUAUCGGAAAGGAACACCGGGUGGCGAAAGCG